GGCACAGGCCGCCGGGAGCGGCCGCUAGAGGGCGCGGGGCUGGGAGGCGCAGAGCCUGCGAGCACCGGGCCAGGACGCCCUGUGAGGGGCAGGGAGGGGAACUAGAUGCCCUCCGGCAGGAGCCCUAUGGGGGAGCGCGGAGGGGGAACUAGACAGCCCUCCCCCAAGACAGGGAGCCCUCUUGGGGGAGCCAGGCCAGAAGGGAACUAGACAGCCCCCCCCCCAACAGGGACCCCAUGGGGCGGUGGGGGGAGCCAGCUGGCCCUCCCCCCAAGACAGGGAGUCCUAUGGGGCGGGGGUCAGAAGGGAAUUAGAUGGCUCUCCCCCUAAGUCAGGGAGCCCUAUGGGCAGGGGAACCCGACAGGUCAGCUGGACAGGGAACAUGAUGCUUCCCAGGCUGUGAGGUACCUCACUAUCUGCCAUGGCAACACAAGCCUGGCCCUCUAGGCCUCAUCAGCACCCCUGUCUCUGCAGAUUAGCGUGCAUCCUCCAAGCAUCUCCCUGGAGGGUCCAGUCCCUGGUCUCUCACAGGAUUCCCAGUUCUGCUGUUCCCAAAGGAACUGUAUUCUCCAACUUAGUCCGACUCCCACCUCAGAUCAGCGCUCGGCUCACACACAGCACUUAGACAUGUUUACAGUAAAAUGCCCAUCUCCACUGAAGAAGAGCUACAUGCCACCUUUGAAGCUUUCAAAACCAUUUGAGCAUAUGGUUGGGGUUCUUCAUUCCCAUCUACCACAAACAUACAUGGAUUUUGUUCUGAUUAACAAACCUCCCUGGAGGUGCGACUACCUGUAAAUUCAGAGCCCCAGAGAAUAUUAUGACAGAUAUCCCAGGUCAAGUGCACAUUCAAGAGAGCAGAAAUUCUGGUAAGAGGAACCUACUGAUGAAAUGUGAAAUCAGUUGCUUCAAAGACUGAGCUUGCCUGGGUCUAAUACCUGCAGCCAUGGACUACUGAUCAGCAAACCAGACCCUCCUUUGAAUGAGAUGCUGUGGCCAGGUAGCAGUAGUGAGUGCAAACAGGUACAUGUGGUUACAUUCAGCAUAAGUGAUUAAUUGGUGACAACACGGAUAUGAUAGCAGAGUUAGAACUACUUCUAAGCAUUCAGAGACCUCCAGUGUUAACUCUUUCAAUGCCUGCCAGCAUGGGUGCAGGUGUGUUCAGUCAUUUGGAAUGGUAGCUCUUGAGGAGACUGGCUGUGGAGGUGCUAGAAGCUAGAGGGAGCAGCAGUUACUGUCUUGACAACCACUAAUGCAGAGAGACUGGAAACUAUUGAGUUCCCCCGCCUCCAGGAUAACUAUUUCUCUCAAGCCUUUGCCAUCAAACCUGUUGGACCAUAAAGACCCUAUGGUGGUGGGGAAAUGGGAAGGAUAACUGCAUGGAGGGAAGAGGCUGGCUCACUGACAGGAGGGAUAUCCCUACCUAACUUAACUCUCUACAAAUAAAACUAGAGAUACUA